UGCGAGGCCAUUUUGUUGGCCCCGUUUUUAACGCUUCUGUAUUUUGAAUUCUAAUACAUCGAAAGAUUUUUAAUGAACGAAAACUAUCCGGGAUGAGUUUAAACAGCGCAGUAGGAAACACUGGGCAAGCUUUUCCGGGAUCAAAACUGGAGGUUUUCAUUUUUUUCGUUGCAUGUUUUAUUUUUGCGAUUCAAAACGGCGCGACCAAUCAGAGCGCGCAUAGCGUAACCGGUAUGCAAAUGAGCGUGUCGUCAUGCCUGCGUCACCGCUGGUGGAAGCGCUGAGGUCGACCAACAGCGAUAUAAGUAGGUUUUUAAAGAGAAAAUCGAUAUUUAUUUAUUUAUUUUACUCCGCCGUAAAUUUGCGGCCGCGUCCGCGAGGGGCUCCGGGUCGCUUGGCUUCACUCCACAUGUUCAGGAACUUCUCAAAUAUCCUGGAUGGUAUUUAUGAACCUUCACACCAAGACGAGCAGGUGUAACUGAGACACUGUAGCCAAAGUGUCUGAUCAGGAAACUCGGAUUAUACCUGUGGGAAUUAUAAUCCGGUCAACAGGUGGGGAAGCAGAUAAAUGCCCUCCUGAAAGAAUGAAGACAAAAAAAAUAGAAUUUGUAAUGGGUUUAAUGGUUAUACUGGGAAUUGUAUUGGUUUGAAUGGAAACUGUAAUGGUCCCUGUGGGUCUCUACUGGUCAUGUACUCUACUGGACAUGGCCUUUUAUUGGUGGGGUGUUAUGUCUAGUGGAUACCAUUAAGGACCAAUAAUGGUAAUGGUUUGUAAUGGUAUUUGUAGUGGAAACCAUUAGAAUUUCUGCUAUGGUUUCUGUUUUUUUUAUUUAUUUAUUUAUUAUUUCAGCAGGGAAUACGGUCCUGGAGAUGUAGAUGUUGUAAAAGUUAGGUGUAGUAUAGAAAGAUUCCAGAGAAAACAAGAUGUUUUGGAUGAAAACGUCCUUCAGCUGUGUAAGCAAGGUGUAAAUAAUAAUAAUAAUAAUAAUAAUACUCACAAUAACAAGAAGAAGAAAUAAUAAUAAACUACACAUGGAAAUGUGGUGUAAAUUAAAGUAAUUUAAGUGUAAUAAACUGACAGCGAGCUAUAAAUUGGGAUUUAUUAAAAAGGAUCGUAUUCCUGCCAAAAAUAUCGGAACAGUCAACUUUUCACAAGGACUAAUAAAGAUUUCCAGGUGGAAAAAUCUUCAAAUCAGAGAGUUCAUAUACAAGACCCAAAUCAUAGCUAAAGUGUAUGAUCCCAGCCUCGGAUUAUAACGGUAUAAAUAUAAUCUGAUCAACAGGUAGGGAGGCUGAUAAAGUGCAGUCCUGGAGAUCCUGGAGAUGUAGAUGUAGUAAAAGUUAGGCGUAGUACAGAGCGUUUCGAGGGAAAACAGGAUGUUUUGGAUUUUAAAAAAAAAGAAAAAAAAAGUCCUUCAUGAGCUGUGCAAAGCAAACUCGGAUUAUAGCUGCAGAAAUAUAAUCCGAUCAACAAGUGGAAGGCUGAGAAACAGCAGUCCCGGAAACCUCCAAGAUUUAUCCAGAAAUAGUAAUACAGUGAAGCUGGUGCAGUUUUAUUUAUUUAUUUAUUUAUUUAUUUAUUUAUUUAAGGCAUGGAACACAAAGUUUCCAUUGAAACCAGGUGAUUCUGACAAAGGUCCAUCAGCCGUGCAAGUAAUGUGUAAUAAUAAUAAUAUAAAUAAAUAAAUGAGAAGAAAUAAUAAUAAACUAAAGCUGGAACUAUUUGCGUGAACUAUUCAAGCAAAUUACCCUUUAAUAUGAUGACAGCGAGCUGUAAAUUGGGAUUUUUCAGGCAAUGGAUUGAUUAAAAAAAGAAUUCAUCUAUGUGGAUAAAUCUUAAAUUAGAUGCUCAACUGUUAAUAUAUGAGAUUAAAAUCAUACCUAAAGUGUCUAACCCCAAACGUUGAUUAUACGUGUAUAAAUAUAAUCGGAUCAACAGGUAGAAGGCUGAUAAAGCGCAGUCCUGAAGUCUAUCUCCAGAAAUAAUAGAGAUGUUUCGAAACAUAUCGAUGGAGUAAAAGUUAAUAGUAGUGCGCGACGUCCUUCAUCAGCUGUUCAGGCGAAGUAUAUUACUACUACUACUACUACUACUAAUAAUAAUAAUAAUAAUAAUGAGAGGAAGAACUAAUAAUAUGAUGUAUAACUGUAAUGGUUUUUGAAAUAUAUAUUUAAGAUAACUAAUAGUCAACAAGCUGAAAGUGAGCUGUAAAUUGGGAUGUAUCAAUAAAACAGGCAGGGGAUUGAUCGAUAUUCCUUCAGCAUCGCGUUUUCUUUCCAACAAUAUAGAAACAGGAGGGCUUUUAGCAGGACUGAAAAAGAUUUCCAGGAGUAAAAAUCUCAAAUCAGAUGCUCACCUACUCAUAAUAUGUGAUUUAAAUCAGAAUCAAAGUAUCUGAUCUGAUCGACAGGUGGAAGCGUGAUCAAGUGCAGGCCUGGAAAUCUGCGUAGUUAGGCGUAGUACACAAAGUUUCCAGGUAAACAAGAUGUUUCGGACCAAAUUCCUUCAUCAGCUGCGCAAACAAAGUGUUGUAAUAAUAAUAAUAAUAAUAAUAAUAAUAAUAAUAAGAAGAAGUAAUAAACUAACGCUGGAAAAGUUUUUGAAAUAUACUAUAUUUAAAACACUAAGUCGUUAAUAAACCUGUUACUAAGAUCAUUCAUAUUAUAAGUGAUGAUUUAUGAAGCAGGGGAUCAAUAUUCUUUCAGUAUCAAUAUUGUUUUCUAACAAUAUAUGAAGAUGUAGGGCUUUUACCGGGGCUAAUAACCAUAAUCACAGACUCCGAUUCUACCUGUAUAAAUAUAAUCCGAUCAACAGGUGGUACUCGGUAGGUUGAUAAAGUGCAGUUCCGUCAUGGCAGGAUUGUCUGGAGAAUGUCACGAUCACAGAGUGCUCUCCAGAAAUAAGAUUCAAACAGCACUGGAAAGGUUUCUGCAUCAUUGAUGUAUGAAAAAAUAUUCAGAGGAACUUUUGUUAUUGACCCGAUGACAGGCAGUGGAAGAUUGAUGGAUUUAGGACACGAUAAGUCUCGUUUUUCGCAUCGAAUGCAUUUUUUUUUUUUCUCCAGCCAACAAUAUAGAAAAAGUACUCUUCGGGUUUAUAGAUCGGACUGAUAUCCGUCAGUGAGUAUCUGAUCCCCAGUCUGGAUUCUACAUAUAGUAUAGUAAGUGUAAUCAGAUGGACUGGUGGUAGAAGCGAGGCAGCAGGCUGGACUUGAGAACGUCACACAUCGCCUUCAAGAGAGCAGGAUUAAGACGGGAAGAUGUUACGAUCGUUGACGGUAAUGACUCGUUAGCAAGAUGACAGACAGUCGGUUGUAAAUUUGGAUUUUAGGAGUCAGGGGAUCGAUGCUUCUUUCAGGAUCGUGUCAUUACAUGGAAUUUCUCUGGAAGUGUGAUUUAAAUAUCUUCUUCGUUUCCAUCUGCUACACGUUUCUGUCCUAAGGGCUUCAUUUAUCGGCCUAAAAAAGCUGUCCGAACUCAUUUUCCUCGAUUGACGGCGAAUGAAAAUGACAUCAGGUUGUCUUCUGAUGCUUUUCAGGCUUCCGAACGUAAGAAGAACACAUUUUAC
ensembl:lncRNA